GGUAAAAUGGCUGAUAAAAGCAGUAGACUGUAAAUCUAAGAAUAAAGGUUAAGUCCUUUUUUUACCAAAAA
rnacentral:tRNA from 1 species